rnacentral:rRNA from 1 species
CGACUGCUAUCGGGGUGGCGCUAAGCCAUGGGAGUCGCACAUCCCACCGCCGUGGGGUGUGGCGAACGGCUGAGUAACACGUGGCUAACCUACCCUCGGGACGGGGACAACUCCGGGAAACUGGAGCUUAUCCCCGAUAGGCGGGGAGUCCUGAACGGUUCUCCGCCCAAAGGGAUGGGAGGGGGUUAUCGCCUUCCAUCCGCCCGAGGAUGGGGCUGCGUCCCAUCAGGUUGUUGGCGGGGUAACGGCCCGCCAAGCCUAUAACGGGUAGGGGCCGUGAGAGCGGGAGCCCCCAGAUGGGCACUGAGACAAGGGCCCAGGCCCUACGGGGCGCACCAGGCGGGAAACCUCCGCAAUGCGGUAACCCGUGACGGGGUCACCCCGAGUGCUCCCCUUAUGGGGAGCUUUUCCCCGCUGCAGGAAGGCGGGGGUAAUAAGUGGGGGGCAAGACUGGUGUCAGCCGCCGCGGUAAUACCAGCCCCACGAGUGGUCGGGACGGUUAUUGGGCCUAAAGCGCCCGUAGCCGGCCCAGCAAGUUCCUGCCUAAAUCACCGGGCUCAACCCGGUGACUGGUGGGAAUACUGCUGGGCUAGGAGGCGGGAGAGGCCGGGGGUACUCCUAGGGUAGGGGCGAAAUCCUAUAAUCCUAGGAGGACCACCAGUGGCGAAGGCGCCCGGCUGGAACGCGCUCGACGGUGAGGGGCGAAAGCUGGGGGAGCAAACCGGAUUAGAUACCCGGGUAGUCCCAGCUGUAAACGAUGCGGACUAGGUGUUGGACGGACCUAGGGUCCGUCCAGUGCCGCAGGGAAGCCGUUAAGUCCGCCGCCUGGGGAGUACGGCCGCAAGGCUGAAACUUAAAGGAAUUGGCGGGGGAGCACCGCAAGGGGUGGAGCCUGCGGCUUAAUUGGAGUCAACGCCGGGAACUUUACCGGGGGCGACAGCAGGAUGACGGCCAGGCUAAUGACCUUGCCCGACGCGCUGAGAGGAGGUGUACGGCCGUCGCCAGCUCGUGCCGUGAGGUGUCUGGUUAAGUCCAGCAACGAGCGAGACCCCCGCCCCUAAUUGCUACCCGCUCCUUCGGGAGCGGGGCACAUUAGGGGGACUGCCGGCGUCUAAGCCGGAGGAAGGUGGGGGCCACGGCAGGUCAGCAUGCCCCGAAACCCCCGGGCUGCACGCGGGCUACAAUGGCUGGGACAGCGGGAACCGACCUCGAAAGAGGGAGGUAAUCCCUCAAACCCAGCCGCAGUUGGGAUCGAGGACUGAAACCCGCCCUCGUGAACGAGGAAUCCCUAGUAACCGCGCGUCAUCAUCGCGCGGUGAAUACGUCCCUGCUCCUUGCACACACCGCCCGUCGCUCCACCCGAGUGGGGAGAGGGUGAGGCCCUGCUCCGAAUGGGGUAGGGUCGAACCCUCUCCCUGCGAGGGGGGAG